UACUCGUUAAGGCUGAGCUGUGAUGGGGAGAAGACAUUGUGUCUUCGAGUCGUUGAUUUCACACUGCCGAGAAAAGCCUCUAGAUAGAAAAUAGGUGCCCGUACCGCAAACCGACACAGGUAGUCAAGAUGAGAAUUCUAAGGUGAGCGAGCGAACUCUCGUUAAGGAACUCGGCAAAAUGACCCCGUAACUUCGGGAGAAGGGGUGCUCUUUAGGGUUAACGCCCAGAAGAGCCGCAGUGAAUAGGCCCAAGCGACUGUUUAUCAAAAACACAGGUCUCUGCUAAACCGUAAGGUGAUGUAUAGGGGCUGACGCCUGCCCGGUGCUGGAAGGUUAAGAGGAGUGGUUAGCUUCUGCGAAGCUACGAAUCGAAGCCCCAGUAAACGGCGGCCGUAACUAUAACGGUCCUAAGGUAGCGAAAUUCCUUGUCGGGUAAGUUCCGACCCGCACGAAAGGCGUAACGAUUUGGGCACUGUCUCAACGAGAGACUCGGUGAAAUCAUAGUACCUGUGAAGAUGCAGGUUACCCGCGACAGGACGGAAAGACCCCGUGGAGCUUUACUGUAGCCUGAUAUUGAAAUUCGGCACAGCUUGUACAGGAUAGGUAGGAGCCUUUGAAACGUGAGCGCUAGCUUACGUGGAGGCGCUGGUGGGAUACUACCCUAGCUGUGUUGGCUUUCUAACCCGCACCACUUAUCGUGGUGGGAGACAGUGUCAGGCGGGCAGUUUGACUGGGGCGGUCGCCUCCUAAAAGGUAACGGAGGCGCUCAAAGGUUCCCUCAGAAUGGUUGGAAAUCAUUCAUAGAGUGUAAAGGCAUAAGGGAGCUUGACUGCGAGACCUACAAGUCGAGCAGGGUCGAAAGACGGACUUAGUGAUCCGGUGGUUCCGCAUGGAAGGGCCAUCGCUCAACGGAUAAAAGCUACCCCGGGGAUAACAGGCUUAUCUCCCCCAAGAGUUCACAUCGACGGGGAGGUUUGGCACCUCGAUGUCGGCUCAUCGCAUCCUGGGGCUGUAGUCGGUCCCAAGGGUUGGGCUGUUCGCCCAUUAAAGCGGUACGCGAGCUGGGUUCAGAACGUCGUGAGACAGUUCGGUCCCUAUCCGUCGUGGGCGUAGGAAAUUUGAGAGGAGCUGUCCUUAGUACGAGAGGACCGGGAUGGACAUACCUCUGGUGUACCAGUUGUCGUGCCAACGGCAUAGCUGGGUAGCUAUGUGUGGACGGGAUAAGUGCUGAAAGCAUCUAAGCAUGAAGCCCCCCUCAAGAUGAGAUUUCCCAACUUCGGUUAUAAGAUCCCUCAAAGAUGAUGAGGUUAAUAGGUUCGAGGUGGAAGCAUGGUGACAUGUGGAGCUGACGAAUACUAA
rnacentral:rRNA from 1 species